rnacentral:rRNA from 1 species
GCAAGUCGAGCGGUAACAGGAAGUAGCUUGCUACUUUGCUGACGAGCGGCGGACGGGUGAGUAAUGCUUGGGAACAUGCCUUGGGGUGGGGGACAACAGUUGGAAACGACUGCUAAUACCGCAUAAUGUCUUCGGACCAAAGAGGGGGAUCUUCGGACCUCUCGCGCUAAGAUUAGCCCAGGUGAGAUUAGCUAGUUGGUGAGGUAAGAGCUCACCAAGGCGACGAUCUCUAGCUGGUCUGAGAGGAUGAUC